UGAGGCCCGUUUACACGGUAAUCAAUUUUGGCACGGCACUCCAAAUUUUAGGUACGCGAACCUGUUUUCUUGAGUGCGGCUCUCCAAAUUUUUCUCGUGUAAACGGAUAGCAGGCCUAAAAUUUAAGGACCGGGUGCCUUGAAAUUUUAGCGUGCCGGGACCUCCAAAAGAGGUAGUCUCGGCCCGUCAAAAAAGCGGCACCGUGCCGAGUUUUUAGCUAUAUCAGCAAAAUGAGCAAUAAUAAGCGCGAAAAGGAAAUGGCGGGAAUUAAAAUAAACAAAGAUGGCGGCGACACCAAAAUGCAUGAAAUGGAGUGAUGAAAAAACAAGAAGUCUAAUAACUCUUUGGUGCGACGAAAAUAUACAAAUUGCAUUGGGUAAUUCAAAAGGAUCCAAAGAUAAAAGCAAGGUUUACAAGUCCUUAUUGGAGCAAUUACAAGAAAGAGGCUAUGAAGAUAUUACACUAAAAGAAGUAAUUAAUAAAAUUAAGAAAUUGAA